rnacentral:rRNA from 1 species
AUACGGAGGGUGCAAGCGCUAUCCGGAUUUAUUGGGUUUAAAGGGUGCGUAGGCGGAAAUAUAAGUCAGUGGUGAAAUCUUGCAGCUUAACUGUAAAACUGCCAUUGAUACUGUGUUUCUUGAGUAUAGUUGAGGUAGGCGGAAUGUGUAAUGUAGCGGUGAAAUGCUUAGAUAUUACACAGAACACCGAUUGCGUAGGCAGCUUACUAAACUAUAACUGACGCUGAGGCACGAAAGCGUGGGGAGCGAACAGGAUUAGAAACCCCGGUAGUCC